rnacentral:rRNA from 1 species
UCAAGCUACAAAGAGCACAAGGGGAAUGCCUUGGCACCGAGAGCCGAAGAAGGACGUGACUAACUGCGAUAAGCUACGGGGAGCUGUAAGUGAGCGUUAUAUCCGUAGAUUUCCGAAUGGAGCAAUCCGAUUAGAGGAAAGUCUAAUCAUCAUAUACUGAAUACAUAGGUAUAUGAGGGGAACCGCCUGAACUGAAACAUCUAAGUAGGGCGAGGAAGAGAAAUCAACUGAGAUUCCGUAAGUAGUGGCGAGCGAACGCGGAAGAGGCCAAACCUAAUGUAGUAAUAUGUUAGGGGUUCGGACAGUAUAAUGAAUUGUCGAAAUUUAGCCGAAUGUCAUGGGAAGGGCAAUCAAAGAAGGUGAAAAUCCUGUAGGCGAAAAGUUAAGACAUCAGACUGUAUCCAGAGUACCGCCGGACACGUGAAACCCGGUGGGAAUAUGGGGGGACCAUCCUCCAAGCCUAAAUACUACUCGGUGACCGAUAGAGAAGAAGUACUGUGAAGGAAAGGUGAAAAGCACCCCGGAAGGGGAGUGAAAGAGAACCUGAAACCUUGUGUUUACAAGCACCGAAAGUUCAUCAACGAACGAUCGGGUACCUUUUGUAGAAUGGUCCGGCGAGUGAAUGUAACUGGCAAGGUUAAGCACUUAAGGUGUGAAGCCGUAGCGAGAGCGAGUCUGAAAAGGGCGCAUGAAGUCAGUUGUAUUCGACCCGAAACCGGGUGACCUACCCAUGUCCAGGCUGAAGUGCAGGUAAAACUUCAUGGAGGGCCGAACCGACUCCCGUUGAAAUGGUAGCGGAUGAGGUGUGGGUAGCGGAGAAAUUCCAAUCGAACCCGGAGAUAGCUGGUUCUCUCCGAAAUAGCUUUAGGGCUAGCCUUGGAAUAGAUUACUGGAGGUAAAGCACUGAAUUGGCUAGGGGCCGAGAGGUUACUGAACCUUAUCAAACUAAGAAUGCCAGAUAAUCGUUUUCCAGGAGUCAGACAGUGGGAGAUAAGUUUCAUUGUCAAAAGGGAAACAGCCCAGACCUACAGCUAAGGUCCCAAAGUAUAGUUAAGUGGAAAAGGAUGUGGAAUUGCAUAGACAACCAGGAUGUUGGCUUAGAAGCAGCCACUCAUUAAAAGAGUGCGUAAUAGCUCACUGGUCGAGUGAUUCUGCGCCGAAAAUUUAACGGGGCUAAACUAUACACCGAAGCUUAGGAUACCGCAAGGUAUGGUAGGAGAGCGUUCUGUACGGAGUGAAGUCGUAGCGAAAGCGGCGGUGGACUGUACAGAAGUGAGAAUGCCGGAAUAAGUAGCGAGAAUUAAGUGAGAAUCUUAAUGGCCGAAAGUCUAAGGUUUUUGGAGGAAGGUUCGUCCGCUCCAAGUAAGUCGGGAGCUAAGGUCAGGCCGAAAGGCGUAGCCGAUGCACAAACGGUUGAUAUUCCGUUACCGUCUACAAUUUAAACAAAGGGACACAUACAAAGCGUUUAACCCGGGCGAUGGUUGACCCGGGCGCAAGGGACUGAAAUUAGAGUAGGGAAGUAAAUGUGGCGUAUGGCGAGAAAAGCUUUGUGUAUAGAAGUAGACGCCCGUACCGCAAACCGACACAGGUGGACAGGAAGAGAAUUCUAAGGCCAGCGGGAGAAGGGUAGUUAAGGAACUCGGCAAAUUGACUCCGUAACUUCGGAAUAAGGAGUGCUCGAAAGAGCCGCAGAGAAUAGGCCCAGGCGACUGUUUAGCAAAAACACAGGUCUCUGCCAAAUCGAAAGAUGAAGUAUAGGGGCUGACACCUGCCCGGUGCCGGAAGGUUAAGAGGAGGAGUGCAAGCUCCGAAUUGAAGCCCCGGUAAACGGCGGCCGUAACUAUAACGGUCCUAAGGUAGCGAAAUUCCUUGUCAGGUAAGUUCUGACCCGCACGAAUGGCGUAACGAUUUGGGCACUGUCUCAACAGCCCGCCCGGCGAAAUUGUAGUACCGGUGAAGAUGCCGGUUACCCGCGACAAGACGGAAAGACCCCAUGGAGCUUUACUGUAGCCU